AUUGAACGCUGGCGGCAGGCCUAACACAUGCAAGUCGAACGAGUGGCGGACGGGUGAGUAAUGUCUGGGAAACUGCCUGAUGGCGGGGGAUAACUACUGGAAACGGUAGCUAAUACCGCAUACCAUCAGAUGUGCCCAGAUGGGAUUAGCUAGUUGGUGGGGUAACGGCUCACAUAGGCCACGAUCCCUAGCGGGUCUGAGAGGAUGACCAACCACACUGGAACAGAGACACGAGCCAGACUCCUACGGGAGGCAGCAGUGGGGAAUAUUGCACAAUGGGCGCAAUCCGGAUACAGCCAUGCCGCGGGUGUGAAGAAGGCCUUCGGGUUGGAAAGUACUUUCAGCGGGGAGGCGUUACUCGCAGAAGAAGCACCGGCUAACUCCGUGCCAGCCGCCGCGGUAAUUC
rnacentral:rRNA from 1 species